AUUCCAGCCUUGAGUCCUUCAGCAGGCCAGUUGCCUCACUGUGAAUUUCUGUUGCAUCUGCAGUGAGGCUAAUUAGCAACGCGACUCCUGAAUAAUAACGCCUGUGUCUGCUCAGCCUCCUGUGAGCAGAGAGCCAGCAAUGCCUUCUUCAGGAAGCAAGUCACAGGUGCAUCUCUUUGGUGCCAUUUUAGAGUUGGAGACUCUGACAAUAACGGAGGGAGGGUAAGUUCCUUAUGGCUCUGUGACCCUUGGAUCUGAAGGAUCCCAAAGCCUGAGGCUGGUGAGGGCUUCUCUGUACUUUUGACUCUCUCCCUUCUCCCAUCCUGAGAAACUCAGUACCUAGCAGCGUGGUGGGUAGAGGAUUGCCAUUCUUCACACAGCGCUCAAAUCUGGUUGCUGGGGAUUCUAUCCAAGCUGUUCUCCCAUCCAUUUUCACAGUGAUUCAGGUAACCAGGGAAUGGAUAACCCAAAGUCCUAUUGCUGAUCUGCUAAGGGGCUGAAAACCAGAUUUGUGGUCUUGGACCAGCUCUCAGGGGUGCCCUGGGCCCAUGGUCCCGCCCAGUGGUCUCCAAAUUACCAUGUACAGUUGGCUCUGCAUAUCUGUGAGUUCUACAUGAGUGGAUUUCUUUUUUUUUUUUUUUUUUUAACCAAUGAUGGCUUGAAAAACAGAAUUUUUUGUUUGUACUGAGCAUGUUCAGGCUUUUCUUGUCAUCAUCCCCUAAAUAAUGGACUAGAACUGUUACAGACUGUAUUAGUCAGGGUUCUCUAGAGUCACAGAACUUAUGGAUAGUCUCUAUAUAGUAAAGGAAUUUAUUGGUGACUUACAGUCUGCAGUCCAAUUCCCAACAAUGGUUCAGUAGUAGCUGUGAAUGGAAGUCCAAGGAUCUAGCAGUUACUCAGUCCCACACGGCAAGCAGGCGAAGGAACGAGAGUGAGACUCCCUUCUUCCAAUGUCCUUAUAUGGUCUCCAUCAGAAGGUGUAGCCCAGAUUAAAAGUGUGUUCCACCACACCUUUAAUCCCAGAUGACCUUGAAUUUGGAGAGCUCCCUGUCUUAAUCUUCUGGAAUCCUUAGCCACUAUGCCUCAAGAUCUCCAUACCAAGAUCCAGAUCAGAAACUUCUAUCUCCCAGCCUCCAGAUUAGGGUCAUUGGUGAGCCUUCUAAUUUUAGAUUGUAGUUCAUUCCAGAUAUAGUCAAGUUGACAACCAGGAAUAGUGACAACAUAGACCAUUUCUUGAUGUCAGGGGUUACAAGUCAUCUGUAGACAAUUCACAGCACUCAGGGAGGGGUGUGCAGGUUACACAUAAAUCCACAUGCCAUUGUGUCUAUGAGACCUCACUGUGCUGGACUGCCAUCCAUGGCGGUUCUGGACCCUCCCACCCUGGCAAAUGGAGGGAUGACUGUAUUUUAUUACAGAAUUCUGAUUGUACCAAGACUGACAUCAUCAGUCACAUACUUUCAGGACUUCCUUUCUUCCCAGCUGCUGUGAGGUAGUUCCAUAAUAGCACUGCACUCUGCCUGCUUUGGCUGAAGAGAAGGUCCUCACUGCACUUCGGAGUAUGUACUCCUGAAAGCUGAAAGAAAGCCUUGGGGAGCAGAUGCUGUUUGGAUCCCAUACGCGAUGCUGGCUGCUGGCGUGUAUGUGUGGGGAGCAGAAUUCUGGUCUUGUGUAGUACAUAUCUGACAUCUCCCGGGCCAUAUCCUCAGAACCUGGUCCCGUUGUGUUCCUGGUGGCAUGUAUUGACCAGGUCUUGCAGCUCUUUGGAGGUGCAGUACCCUGUUUCCUAUCAAACCCCAUAUGUCCAUAGCUUAUGGUGAUUUAUUUGUCAAUGGCUUAGUCUGUUUUCUGUUGCUAUGUUGGGAUACCCAAGACUGUGAGGUUGCUCCUUCUUCUAGGUACUGGGAGGUCCAAGAGCAUGGCGUUAGACUCUCCCAAGGUGAUUGUCUCAAAGGGGAUAUUGCCAGUGAUGCUUCGUGCUUCUGAAAUGAGAACCUCUAGGGCUGGCAGGGGGCGGAGGGCUUCUGCUUUUCUGUUUGGACAGUCAUUGCUGCUUAGUUAUGCUCAUCUUUUAAAAAAAGUUUUCUAGACCAACUGUGUUUAACAAAAGCCAGUGAGUUGAAUGAUCCUUACAGUUACCCCUUUGCUCACAUUUGUCACUGUAUCGUACCAGUUAAGAGUUCCCCCUUCACAAGCGUGGCUCCGUCAUCACCUGUGCAGGGCCUACCGGUGAUGGGUGCCUCAGUGCCAGCCGGCAGCAGGCGGCUCAGCCCCACGCUCAUCCCAGGGUCUGAUUUCCUGACUGACUUUCCAUAACACCCAUUGCAAGCUGGGUUCCUGGAAAGGAUCCUGACAACCCAGCCCAUGGGCCAUGAAUUAACAGCUAGACUUAGGCCAGCUCUUGUUGAAGAGAACUGACAGAAAGAUGGUGGGCAGAGGGAAGUUAAGCUAGGAUACACAGCAGCUGCCUCAGCUGACAUGUAGGAGUUCUGAGAGUGUCCCAAGCCUUAAGCAAAAGGUUCCAGUCUUUGGAGCCUGGUAGCCAUCAGUUACUAGCAUUGAGCAGCCCUGGGGGCAGCAUGUGACCUUGGGUAAGGUGGUCCCUUUCUGCUGAGGAAAGUGCUGAAAACUAAGAGCCAUCUGAUGGUGGCAUGCCUCCCAUACCUGGGAAACAGGUUUAAUUCCACAGGAGGACAUAUUUGGUGUGUCACAGUUUUUAUCACACCACCUGUAGAUCCGUUUGUCUCUGAAACUCUGUAAAAGAGUCCUUACACAACUUUUGGCUAAGUGUGGAGGACCCCAUGAUGAAUAGCUAUUACAUAUCAAAUAGGUAGCUAUUUGUGGGUAUUUACAAGUGAUAACGCUUCAACUCAAUCAGUUUAAUUUAAGGGUAUGGCUCCUAGUAGAAUGACCAUCCAGUGGAUGGUCCCACAAUCAGGAGUGUAUGUGCAGGGUCCACCUGGGGCACAGCCAGCAGAAGUGAGCUGAGAACUGUCCCUGACCUCCAUCAUCAGGCCCAUGGCUCUUUCUGCUUCCCUGAGGAUUCCUGCCAGCAUCAGGAACAUCCACCCAACACCAGAGAUAACCAGAUGGCUAAAUGAUAGCAUAAGAACACAAUCAACAAGAGCCAGGGCAAGAUGGCACCACCAGAGCCCAGCUAUCCUACUACAGCAAGCCCUGGACAUUGUAACACAGCUGGAGCAUAAGAAAAUGACUGUAAAUCCAAUUGUAUAAAGAUGAGAGAGGCCUUCAAAGAAGAAACAAAUAAAUCCUUUAAAGAAAUACAGGAAAAUACAAUCUAACAGGUGAAAGACAUGAAUAAAACUGUUUAACACCUAAAUAUGGAAGUAGAAGCAAUACAGAAAACACAAACUGAGGAAAUCCUGGAGAUGGAAAACCUAGGGAAGAGAACAGGAACUACAGAAAGCAGUGCUAAGAAGAAAGUUCAUAGCACUGAGUGCCUUCAUAGAGAAAGUCAAAAGUUCUCAUACCAGCAACUUAACAGCACAACUGAAAGCUCUAGAACAAAAAGAAGCAAACACACCCAAGAUGAGUAGAAGGCAGGAAAUAAUCAAACUCAGUUCUGAAAUCAGUCAAUUAGAAACAAAGAGAAAAAUAAAAAGAAUCAACAAAACCAAGAGCUGGUUCUUUGAGAAAAUCAAUAAAAUAGACAAACCCUUAGCUGAACUAACUAAAAGGCAGAGAGACAGUAUCCAGACUAACAAUCAGGAAUAAAAAGGGGAACAUAGCAACAGAUACUGAGGAAAUCGAAAGAAUCAUUAGGUCUUACUUCAAAAUUCUGUAUUCCACAAACUUGGAAAAUUGAAAUGAAAUGGACAAUUUUCUUACCAAAGUUAAAUCAAAAUAAUUCAAAAUCAGCUAAACAAUUUAAAUAGUUCUAUAAUCCCUAAGGAAAUAGAAGCAAUCAUUAAAAUCUCCCAACCAACCAACCAACCAACCAACCAACAAACAAACAACCAAAAACCACAAAAGCCCAGGGCCAGAUCGUUUUAGCACAGAAUUCUAUAGACUUUCAAAGAAGAGCUAAUACCAAUACUCCUCAAACUAUUCCACAAAUAGAAAUAGAAGGAACACUAUCAAACUCACUCUAUGAGAUCACAGUCACCUUGAUACCUAAAUCACACAGAAUCAACAAAGAAAGAAUUUCAGACCAAUUUUCCUUAUGAACCUUGAGGCAAACAUACUCAACAAAAUACUUACAAACUGAAUCCAAGAACACAUCAAAAACAUCAUCCACUAUGAUCAAGUAGGCUUCACCCCAAAGAUGCAGGGAUGGCUCAAUAUAUGACAAUCUAUCAAUAUAAUCCACCAAAUAAACAAACUG
rnacentral:lncRNA from 1 species